UACGUAGGGGGCAAGCGUUGUCCGGAUUUAUUGGGCGUAAAGAGCGUGUAGGCGGCUUGGAAGGUCAGCUGUGAAAACUCGAGGCUCAACCUCGAGACGUCGGUUGAAACCACCUGGCUAGAGUCCGGAAGAGGAGUGUGGAAUUCCCGGUGUAGCGGUGAAAUGCGCAGAUAUCGGGAAGAACACCCGUGGCGAAGGCGGCACACUGGACCACAUCUGACGCUGAGGCGCGAAAGCUAGGGGAGCAAACAGG
rnacentral:rRNA from 1 species